AAUUUAAAUUUUUUACAAUGGAGAGUUAAUAAAUUAUAUAAAUAUAUUACUGCGAGGGGGGAGCCUCGCAAUUAAUAUUAUUAAAAGAUUUAUUAAUUGUACCUUUUGUAUCAGGGAUAAUUUAAAUUAAUUUUCUAGGAAGUUUUCUCGAAAAAAGAAGAUCUAGAAGUAAAAAUUGUUACUGUUUAAUAAUUAAAUUAAAUUUUCUUCUUGGUUUGACAUAAAAUUCAAUUCUUUAUAUCUAGUUUCUUUAAUUUUAAAUUCAAUUUAGUAAGUUUUCGUUUUUGGAAAUUUGAAAAUAAUUAAAAGGAUAAUCUUUUAAUUAAAAUUAUAGUGAUCAUAGUUUGAUUAUGAUUAUUAGGCUUAAAAUUAGUUUAAAUUUAUUAAUAUGUUAAAAUAAAUCAUUACAUAAUGAAAAUUUUAUUAUACUCUUUAGGGGGAGCUAAAGAUAUAUAAUAAAACAUUUUUGUUAUAAAAAAUAUGAUUAAAUUAGUAGAAUAGUAAAAUAAUUAUUAAGAACUUAGCAAAUAAGAAGUUUCGCCUGUUUAACAAAAACAUCUUUGUAAGAUAAUUAUUUAUAAUAUUGUCUGCUCAAUGCUUUAAGUAAAUAGCUGCAGUAUUUUGACUGUACAAAGGUAGCAUAAUCAUUAGUCUUUUAAUUGAAGGCUUGUAUGAAAGACUAAACGGAAACUUAGCUUUUUUAUAGUUAUGAUAUUUUAAUUUAGUUUUUUAGUUAAAAAACUAAAGUAGACUAAAGGGACGAUAAGACCCUAUAGAAUUUAAAAAUAAUUUUGAAAAAUUUAUUAUUUGGUUGGGGUGACCAGAAAAUUAACUUUUCUUUUAAUUUGCAUUUUAAAUGUAUUUAUGAUCCUAAUAAUUUAGAUAGUAAGAUAAAAUUACCUUAGGGAUAACAGCAUAAUUUUUUUUUGAAGAUCUUAUUUAUAAAAGAGAUUAUGACCUCGAUGUUGAAUUAAUAUAAUAUUUAGGUGCAGAAUUUUAAAUAGAUAGUCUGUUCGACUUUAAAUUUUACAUGAUUUGAGUUCAAACCGGCGUGAGCCAGGUUGGUUUCUAUCUUUUAAUAAUAAAUUAUUUUAGUACGAAAGGAUUGAGUAGUUGAAUUUUUAUUGAUUAAUUUUAUGCAUAAAAUUAAU
rnacentral:rRNA from 1 species